GUUUACCCUUAUGUCUUUUCCUUUUGGAAACAAUAGGACGGGAAAGGAAGACUUUGAAUCGGAGACUUACAACACUUCUUUGGUCGAAACGUAUAAAUGCGUAUUACCCCCCUUUGUCACAGUGCUUUUCUUUUGUCAAAAGCAAUCUCUCACAUUCCCUCAAUUACUACUAAACUUCUAUUCAAAAUCAUCCAAUUUUUUCCCCUUAUAAAUUCGAAAAAUCGCAGUUAUCAACCAUUGUACUACUAGUUCAAUUUUUCAAAAUACCUUUGUUCUCAGCUGCAGGUUCUUGAGUAAAGAAUCUACUGGCAUUUCAAUCAUUGGUUGGACGCUCCUUUAUAAUUUGAUCGAAUGGAUGUGGAGGGAGCCAGUACUUUGUCAGGAAAUGGUGCACAAUCUGUAGAAUCUCGUUCCCGUCCAGUUCGGCGACAUUUGAAUAAUGCUGUAUAUCAGUUUACACAACAAAAUCUCCCAGCGUGUAAACCUGUACUGACACCGUCAUGGGUCAUUUCAAUGUUUUUCUUGAUUGGCGUCGUUUUUAUUCCAAUUGGACUGCUCUGUCUUUAUGCUUCUGAAAGUGUUGUUGAGAUUGUUGACAGAUAUGAUACAGAUUGUGUGCCAGAUAAUUUCAAGAGCCAAAAAGUUGCUUACAUCAAAGAUAGCUCAGUUUCCAAGAAUUGUACACGUUACUUAAAGGUGCCCCAAAAUAUGAAAGCUCCAAUUUACAUCUAUUAUCAACUCGAUAACUAUUACCAGAACCACAGAAGGUACGUCAAAAGCAGAAGUGAUAAACAGCUUUUACACGGAUUAACAUACAAUGAUACGAGUUCCUGCAAUCCCGAAGGAGAAAACAAUGGUCUCCCAAUUGUUCCUUGUGGUUUGAUUGCAUGGAGCUUGUUUAACGACACAUAUUCCUUCUUCCGUGGGGCAGAUGCUAUAAAAGUCAACAGGAAAAAUAUUGCUUGGAGGAGUGAUCGUGAACACAAAUUUGGGAAAAAUGUUUAUCCGUUCAAUUUCCAGAGCGGGUCUCUAAUUGGUGGUGCAACAUUGGACCCUAACAUUCCUCUAAGUGAUCAGGAGGAUCUCAUUGUAUGGAUGCGUACUGCUGCUCUUCCUACCUUCCGUAAGUUAUAUGGAAGAAUUGAAGUGGACUUAGAGGAAGAUGACUUAAUUAUGGUGAAUCUUGUUAACAACUACAACACGUAUAGUUUCGGUGGAAGGAAGAAACUUGUUCUUUCAACAACCAGCUGGCUGGGAGGUCGGAAUAACUUCCUUGGGAUGUCCUACGUUGCUGUUGGUUCUUCAUUUAUGUUCCUCGCUUUUGUCUUCUUGUUACUUCAUGUGAAAAAUCCAAGGCCUUAUGGAGAUACAAAUUUAUCUUGGAACUGGAAAGGCAUGUCAAACUAGAAGAUGGAUUUCCAUGAACAGCACCUUGUCCUCGUAUAUAAAUGAAGUGAUAUCAGUUUUUUUCAGAGGGAAAAAAGUAUAGAUUAUAGAGGGGUAACGCAGGAGAGCAGGUUCGUGAUACUUCAGGCGCUUAGGAAGGACUUGCUAUUGCUGCUGAUUUGGUGAGCCCACACGUUCAUUCGUGGGACACCCUAUUUUUUUUUGUUCACUUAUUAUUAGUUUUUGGGCUGCGUCCCGAUGAGUCAAACUAUUGCCUCGUUAUCCUAGAAGCUCCAUAGUAUACAUUCUUGUGGGUAGUUGUUGAGUUUUGUUAACUCUUGGGCGUUGUCACGUUUUGAUUAACUUUUACGAUAUUAAGACUUCCGCUGAUUUAGUUUAUGUAUUCAUGAUUUGUUACAUUUAAUUUAUAGACUGUUGGAGGCGAAUGUUGAACCUGGCGGGUUCAAAUAUUAUUA